ensembl:lncRNA
AAAACUUUCAUUUUCUAAAUGUAUAAUAAUUUUUUUUCUGUACCUACUCGUCGCUCACACCUGCUGAAUUCCCAUCUAAUAUUUAGUUUUACCUCCAGUAGAGGGCUGUUCUGGAGCAUGCGCAAAGCACACUGAAGAACCCUGUUUCUGCUGUCACAACGUUGAGGGGUAAAGCGACUGCGAGUGGGUUUUUCGGAGGCAUUUGGUGAAGCUGAACUAGAGCGUGAUUGGAAUGGCCUGUCGGAGACUGUGUCCCUGCUAGGGUGCCCUGGGUGGGAGAAAAUACCAAACGGUGAGUCAAAUCAAUUCUGUCUGUAACGAUGCAGGCAGAGGAUAAGAAGGACAAGAAGAAGAAAGCAAGUCUAAAUUCGAGAGGUGUAACAGAUGAAUACUGUUUGAGAGUGAGUACCAACACCUCGACUCUACCAGUGAACUUCAAGUCGUCUUCCUAGAAAUGAUUUCAUAUUGACUUCUGCAAAAGCGUAGUACUUGACAUGAUGUACCAGCAUAGUACUUGACCUAUUUUUCCUUAUUCUUUUUAGGAGCGACCAAAAGAGGAUCCUGCAAAGAUGAAGAAUAAGGUGUCCUCUUCACAAGGUCAGUGCUUCUUCAACACAAAAAGAAUCCUACCAAAUAACAAUUCCUUACAAAACCACAGGCCACUGGCCAUACCACUCUGCAGCCGAGGUUCUCUACAAAACAGUCUUUAUUAUAUGCCCGAUGACUAAUUGCUGUGCGCUUGUUGUCAUAAAUCCUUGGUGGUAAUGGGGUCAGAUGAGAGUGCUCCGUGUCUGAAUGUAGUGUUUGUUUUCGAUGCAGUGAGCGGUAAGAAGAGGCCGUGGUCAUGGGACCUGUACCUGGCGGAGGAGGUGGCCAUCGCCGCCCCUCUACGUCUCUUCACUGAGGUACCGUCACAAGUACCCCAUUCAUCACACCACACAGCAGACAAACAAAGACAAAAAAAGACACGCUAGUCGUUCGAACGCUAGGUUGAGGUCAAGUUGUUUGUGUAAAAUUUGGCAUGUUACAAACCUCUUAAAGAUUUUUUAACUGUGUGUGUGUGGUGUGUGAUUUUUGGCAGGUUACAAACCUCUUAAAGAUUUUUAACUUUGCAUGGGCAGUGUUUUCCAUAAUCUGCGAUGAUGUUUUCAUAUUCUUCUACUACUUGCUUAUCAACCAUUUCUAUCUGAUGCAACAGGGUUUAACAUUAUUUGUUGUAUCUUCGAGCACACAAACAAAAAAUAAAUCGUUUUGUGUCUUUAUGCUCUGUGUUUGGAAAGAAAGGUCAACUUCCAUUUGACCUCCCUGGUAAAUCUUAUAAUAGAUAAUGGAACUCGGGAUGAUGGGAGGAAGCCAUUUCAAUUUCAAAGUAGAAAUGGAAAAAUGAAUUCCACCUUUUUUUCAGGUUCUUGGCUCUUGUGCCUUUGUGAAACAUUUCCCUUCACUUCACAAAAAAAUAACCAAAAACAAUAUAAAUCAAUAUGCCUUGCAUUAUACAAUAGCAUUAUUGUUGGCAAAGGGUUUGUUGUGCAUCACUCAGACAACAGUGGGGAUGAAGAUGUGCUCUAUCCUCGUCUUCUCUCCAAGCUCCUUCCCUUUGCAAUGCAGGGUCACGGUCACUUUUCUCAUGGCUCUCCAUGGCACAAUAAUAAAACUGCCGUGUGUGUGUGUGCAAAAGAUUGUGUGUGUGUGUGAGAGAGAGAGGGGGGAAGGGUAGUGGGAGGACCUUUUUAUAUCGCCAAAGUGCAGUGUAAAUAGCUUCCGCUGAAGCGUUUAUUAAGUAGUACUUAAACUACAGUACUUACCUAGUGAUAGGAACGUGCUCUUCUCAGUAGUAAUAAUAAUCAUUUUAUUCUCAAACAAGUGCACAAAUGAUAUCUAAAGAAAGUUAUGAAGAGAAUUUCAAUCAAAAUCUAUACCCUGAAUCUCCAAUAAAUUCACAUAGACACGCAAUCCAUUCUUAGUAGAAGCUGGUGUCCAUCUCAAUUGAACUCAAGUGUGUAACUUGAGUGUGAUUGUUGACAUAAUAGAGUAGAGAACCCCCUCCCCCUACACACACACACACACGCUCCUCCAAAUCUAUGCCAGUGACACAUUUUUUCCAGCUUUUGAUAAAGACUGCUUCAUCAAGCACUGCAGGGGGGGGGGGCUAUAAAUGACUUCAUCAUGACUGGUCACUGUGAACUCCCCCAU